ensembl:lncRNA
GUAAGUACCAGCUGCCUGGGCUCUCACAUGACCUCACUGAAGGAGAGGUUGUUCUGAACUUGUUUCAUUCAUGAAACUCCUCCUUCAUGAAAAGAGGACACAGUUCCUCACAAGUUUCCCCUCAUAAUAUCAGCUACACUUUAGAAAGAUGUUUCCAUAAAUGAUUUCUUCUGCUCUUAGCACUGAAAUGUUGCAGCUCUUGUGUUGCUGUAGCUGGUGAGAGAACUCAUGCUUAUGCACCAUGCUGCUUCUAUGAGAAAUCUCCCAGUUUAAAUCAUGUCAUCUUCCAUUACCAAUUUGUUAUGUCAAGGCUAUCAAAAACAGGCUAUGUUAAUGUUUUUGCACUGGCAACAAAGGGCUGCAAAAACAUUAACAAUUUCUUGCUGAGGUGUGGAUGAGAAAGCCUGCUUUCAGUAACUACAGCCUUAAUCCUUUAGCAUUUGACCUGCAAUACUUGAUUGCAAUACUAGGCCCUAUGAUUGCUUAUGUCAGCUAUUAUUCCAAGCUGAAGUCGUUUGAAAACAAAUACAGAUUUGAAUGAUAUGUGAUGUGGCCAAACAUCUAUUCUCAUCAGUAUGUUUUUGAGGGAACACGUACACAGAUUGAAAGAAUGGAGAAGAUAACAAGCCCUGGCCACAGGAGAAGCAGCUUAGUAUGAAGACCCAAGUGUUCAAACAGCAAGCAGAUAACAGUGACAGACACAUCGCUGAAAACUGGAACUCUCUGAUACUGCUAAGAGCGCUGGAGUUCAGUUUGACUCUGCUUCCCAGAUACAGCCGACCUCAGAGACAACACAUUUGUCUUUAUCUGGACUAAGAAUCUUUUCCCCUUAUGACAAAAAAUGACAUCAACCUCAACAUAUCUUACUAAGAACAGCUUCAAGUCCAAGAAGACGUGCCUUUGUAAAGAGAGGUUGCUAUGGUGCUGUAUGCAGUGUCUGGAAAUCAGAAUUGGUGAAGAUAUAUUGUAGCUAAAAGAGACAAGAUCUCACAUGGUUCAUCAUUACUUCUUGUCAGUAAGUCAGCUUGGGGUUGCAGAAUGAAGGAGAAGCUUCAGCCUUAGAAACUCAGAGCUGCUAAUGAUAAAUUGCAAUCUGCCACGUGCUUCUUGUACAGGAUAGACAGUUGUGGCAACAAAAGACAAAGAAAGGCUAGAAAAACUGCAGCAGAUGUUUGUGCCUUGCACUGGUGUGGACAUGGAAGGAGUCAUGACAACACACUGCUAGUACUGAGGCAGAUCACAACAGUGUCUUCUACAGUAGAACUGGGACUUGAUGAGGACCUAAGUACAUCCAUCUCCCAUUCCUGCAAGUGAGUGAUGAAGGAAGUACAGAGAUCUGUAAAGAACAAGACAGUGGCAGAAACGAGGAACUAAGGAGUCAGCCGAGCAGGAUCAUGGGCUGCAGACACAUUGAGGAGCAGCUGAGGUGCAAACGAGCCAGGCCCACACCCUGACCUGACCUGGGUUUAUCUUGAUUCCACAGAAGUACCUGGAGCUGGGGCUGUCCUUGUGUUCCCUGUCAGCCUGGGCAACUCCUGAGAUCCUGGCACCUCUGGUGCUGGGAAGAUGCCAGCCUGCACAGUGCCGUGACAGGUCAACAGCAAAGAUACUGCUCAGGACUGUACAUGGGAUGACAAAAAACAGAGUGGUAUAAGUUCAGAGUAGUAUGGGAACUGUUGAAUCACGGCCUGAACCUCUGAUUGACCACCUGAGGCGAGUGCUGAGUCAGCCGCAGGGGCACAGGUGAACGCAAUUUCACCUAAGUGACCGGUGACCUUCUAGAC